GAGCGGAGGGUGCAAGCGUUGUUCGGAUUGACUGGGCGUAAAGGGCGUGUAGGCGGUUGGUCAAGUCUGAUGUGAAAGCCCGGGGCUCAGCCCCGGAAGGGCAUCGGAAACUAGCCAGCUGGAGCGCGAUAGAGGAGGGUGGGAAUUCCUGGUGUAGCGGUGAAAUGACGUAGAUAUCAGGAGGAACACCGGCGGCGAAGGCGGCCCUCUGGAUCGUUGCUGACGCUGAGACGCGAAAGCGUGGGGAGCAAACAGG
rnacentral:rRNA from 1 species